rnacentral:lncRNA from 1 species
CCAUUAGAUUUUUUUCACAAAUCCCCCAAAUGUGAAAGGAAGAAAUAGAGUUUUUCGUUUAUAUACCAGAUUGAGAUAACACUGUGCAUUUCAAAUCGUGAAAUCAGAUACAAAAUGAACUUCACUGUUGAAUUUCGUUACCAUUCUUUGUCUCUUACACAUGAGAACCUUUCUUGUUUUCUUGAAUUUGGAUUGUUGAAAAGGCAUCCUGCAAAAGUCUCUCUAUUGCUUUAAC